GAUUUCAAUUGAAAAAGUCAUCAACAGCAAAAUUAUAUAACUCAUCAAGAUCUAAAACUUUUAUUUUUGUCAUUUCUUCAUCCGACAAAGUGUUAGUAAUAUUGUUUACAAAUUUUACAUAUAUGUGUUAUAGUUUAUAAAACCAGAUAAGAGAUACGUUAAUUUUGUGAACAAUGUUAGUUUCACUUCGUCGGAUGAAGAAAUGAUUAAGAGAUACGUUAAUUUUAUGAACAAUGUUAGUUUCACUUUGUCGGAUGAAGAAAUGAUCAAAAUAAAAGUUUUAGAUCUUGAUGAGUUAUACAACUUUGUUGUUGAUGACUUUUUCAGUUGAAGUC
rnacentral:pre_miRNA from 1 species